rnacentral:rRNA from 1 species
UCUGAGAGUUUGAUCCUGGCUCAGAACGAACGCUGGCGGCAGGCUUAACACAUGCAAGUCGAACGCCCCGCAAGGGGAGUGGCAGACGGGUGAGUAACGCGUGGGAACAUACCCUUUCCUGCGGAAUAGCUCCGGGAAACUGGAAUUAAUACCGCAUACGCCCUACGGGGGAAAGAUUUAUCGGGGAAGGAUUGGCCCGCGUUGGAUUAGCUAGUUGGUGGGGUAAAGGCCUACCAAGGCGACGAUCCAUAGCUGGUCUGAGAGGAUGAUCAGCCACAUUGGGACUGAGACACGGCCCAAACUCCUACGGGAGGCAGCAGUGGGGAAUAUUGGACAAUGGGCGCAAGCCUGAUCCAGCCAUGCCGCGUGAGUGAUGAAGGCCUUAGGGUUGUAAAGCUCUUUCACCGAUGAGGAUAAUGACGGUAGUCGGAGAAGAAGCCCCGGCUAACUUCGUGCCAGCAGCCGCGGUAAUACGAAGGGGGCUAGCGUUGUUCGGAAUUACUGGGCGUAAAGCGCACGUAGGCGGAUAUUUAAGUCAGGGGUGAAAUCCCGCAGCUCAACUGCGGAACUGCCUUUGAUACUGGGUAUCUUGAGUAUGGAAGAGGUAAGUGGAAUUCCGAGUGUAGAGGUGAAAUUCGUAGAUAUUCGGAGGAACACCAGUGGCGAAGGCGGCUUACUGGUCCAUUACUGACGCUGAGGUGCGAAAGCGUGGGGAGCAAACAGGAUUAGAUACCCUG